AUGUUGGUGAGGAAGAAGGCAAAAUCAAAAUGGGAGGGGAGAUAUACACAAGGUUGUCAGGGAAAAGGAGAUUUUAUCUGCAUUGAUCACUGUUUGGUAGGGUUCAGGUACAUGUUUUGCAUGUUCCCCGCACAUGGAGUUAAAUUUUCCCAUGUGGCCAUACUUAGUAGGGCAUGCCAGCUAACACCUUUUUCACCAAGCUUCACAAUACUGUUCUACCUUGUGUCACUGACAAUGGUCUCUGAGCAUGCACUGUCAAGUUUAGUAUGCCUGCUUCCCAUGUUUUCCCUAGUUAUGACUUCAUUCCUGAUCUUCACCGCUGAUUUGCUGGAUACGUCAUGGUCGCAAACGGGACCAUGCCACUUUGCUUCACUGAGAAUGGUUAGGAUAAACAGUGAUAACUUCUCUUGA
rnacentral:rRNA from 1 species